rnacentral:tRNA from 1 species
GGCACUUUGGCCGAGUGGUUAAGGCGAAAGACUUGAAUUACGAGUUCGAGACAUCUUUUGGGCUCUGCCCGCGCAGGUUCGAACCCUGCAAGUGUCG